rnacentral:SRP_RNA from 1 species
GCCGGGCGUGGUGGUGGGCGUCUGUAAUCCCAGCUACUUGGGAGGCUGAGGCAGGAGAAUUGCUUGAACCCAGGAGGUGGAGGUUGCAGUGAGCCGAGUUCGUGCCACUGCACUCCAGCCUGGGCAACAGAGCAAGACUCUGCCUCUA